AGAGUUUGAUCCUGGCUCAGGACGAACGCUGGCGGCGUGCCUAAUACAUGCAAGUCGAACGCUUCUUUUUCCACCGGAGCUUGCUCCACCGGAAAAAGAGGAGUGGCGAACGGGUGAGUAACACGUGGGUAACCUGCCCAUCAGAAGGGGAUAACACUUGGAAACAGGUGCUAAUACCGUAUAACAAUCAAAACCGCAUGGUUUUGAUUUGAAAGGCGCUUUCGGGUGUCGCUGGUGGAUGGACCCGCGGUGCAUUAGCUAGUUGGUGAGGUAACGGCUCACCAAGGCCACGAUGCAUAGCCGACCUGAGAGGGUGAUCGGCCACAUUGGGACUGAGACACGGCCCAAACUCCUACGGGAGGCAGCAGUAGGGAAUCUUCGGCAAUGGACGAAAGUCUGACCGAGCAACGCCGCGUGAGUGAAGAAGGUUUUCGGAUCGUAAAACUCUGUUGUUAGAGAAGAACAAGGAUGAGAGUAACUGUUCAUCCCUUGACGGUAUCUAACCAGAAAGCCACGGCUAACUACGUGCCAGCAGCCGCGGUAAUACGUAGGUGGCAAGCGUUGUCCGGAUUUAUUGGGCGUAAAGCGAGCGCAAGCGGUUUCUUAAGUCUGAUGUGAAAGCCCCCGGCUCAACCGGGGAGGGUCAUUGGAAACUGGGAGACUUGAGUGCAAAACAGGACAAUGGAAUUCCAUGUGUAGCGAUGAGAUGCAUAAAUCUAUGGCAGGACCACCAG
rnacentral:rRNA from 1 species